rnacentral:tRNA from 1 species
GCGGGGAUGGCCCAGCCCGGUAAGGCGACGGAUUUACCAUCCGUUGGGCAUUGCCCUCAGGGGUUCAAAUCCCCUUCCCCGCGCCA